UACGAAGGGGGGCUAGCGUUGUUCGGAAUUACUGGGCGUAAAGCGUACGUAGGCGGAUCUGUAAGUAGGGGGGUGAAAUCCCCAGGCUCAACCUGGGAACUGCCUUCUAGACUGCAAGUCUUGAGAUCAGGAGAGGCGAGUGGAAUUCCGAGUGUAGAGGUGAAAUUCGUAGAUAUUCGGAGGAACACCAGUGGCGAAGGCGACUCGCUGGACUGAUACUGACGCUGAGGUACGAAAGCGUGGGGGAGCAAACAGG
rnacentral:rRNA from 1 species